rnacentral:lncRNA from 1 species
CCAUAUUAAAAACCCUUCCCCUAAAAUGCCCGUGAAAUUACCCUGGAGAAACAGACCACCACCUAUUUCUUGACUGCUACUGUAGAGACCAUCUCUCCAACUCCCAAAUCGAGCCACAUGAGGGAAGGUCUGGCUAGUGGGAGCUAUUGAUAAUCUCAGACGGCGACCUGAAGACUGAUUUUACUCCUUGCAUUCAACCUGCUUCGAGGCUGUGCCAGGACAGCUUUAUUUGCAGACCAGAAUUUCAGCUUUGGUCCUUUUCUUCCCACCUCUUGAAAGACAAAAAGUGAAAUGGCCAAAGGCAGAUUCCAAGAAAAAGAAAGGUCUUGAGUUUUGUGUUAACCCAA